rnacentral:rRNA from 1 species
UGGGGAACAUUGCACAAUGGGCGAAAGCCUGAUGCAGCAACGCCGCGUGAGUGAUGAAGGCCUUCGGGUUGUAAAGCUCUGUCUUUUGGGACGAUAAUGACGGUACCAAAGGAGGAAGCCACGGCUAACUACGUGCCAGCAGCCGCGGUAAUACGUAGGUGGCAAGCGUUGUCCGGAUUUACUGGGCGUAAAGGAUGCGUAGGCGGAUUUUUAAGUGAGAUGUGAAAACCCUAAGCUUAACUUGGGGACUGCAUUUCAUACUGGAAAUCUAGAGUGCGGGAGAGGAGAAUGGAAUUCCUAGUGUAGCGGUGAAAUGCGUAGAGAUUAGGAAGAACACCAGUGGCGAAGGCGAUUCUCUGGACCGUAACUGACGCUGAGGCAUGAAAGCGUGGGUAGCAAACAGGAUUAGAUACCCUGGUAGUCCACGCCGUAAACGAUGAGUACUAGGUGUAGGAGGUAUCGACCCCUUCUGUGCCGCAGUUAACACAAUAAGUACUCCGCCUGGGAAGUACGAUCGCAAGAUUAAAACUCAAAGGAAUUGAC